AUGUUAUUUAAUAUUUUCUGAAUACACUACAUCAGGGGUAGGCAACAUUUUAGUAGUACUGUGCCAAAACAAAAUCCUUUGAAAUCCUUUGGCGUGCCAGCCCAAUUUAUUAAAAUUAAGGUGUGUAUUUUGCCGUAUUCUGCUUAUGUUAUUUAUGGGUGCUGCAGUUGCUCUGUAGGCGGUUAUAUUGUAUAUGUUCAUAAGUAGUUUGUCGUAUUGUGUAUGAUACCUAUGAAUGUGGGCUGUAUAAGGCAGCUGCUUGUGGAAUUGUGUGUUUGGUGGAGUGUAUGUGUUUGUGUGUGGG